AUGCUUGCAAAUCUUGGAGCAGAGGACAAGGAAGGAGAGUUAGGCUUACUGACCGGACAAUCUGAGGAAGAAAUGGUGCUCUCCACCUGCGCCCAGUCACUAAUAUUACUAUUAUUUGUUGGCCUAUCAAGCCAAGGAAAUUACAGAUUGCAAUCUCAGAUGCAAGCAAGUGGUCUGUCGUUCCUUGGAAAGUUGGAAGUUGGAACCUACUGCCCUCAUUGCAAAAAGCUGGUCACCACUAAAUGCUGCUAUGAUCAUGUCUUGUGCAUUACUGCCAAAAAUAUGGCGCUCGUCAAGAAUAUACUGGAGGAGGAGCUGGCGACUCGGCAGCAGAUAAUGCUUGAUGCCAACUACUACAAGUACGACAUGCUUGAGAGCAUCAUGGAAAACGGGGCCAUCAAGAAUCUCACUGGCCAUUAUAGGGUCAACUUGUUCGAUGGCUAA
rnacentral:rRNA from 1 species